rnacentral:rRNA from 2 species
AGGCGAAAAGAACCCCGGCGAGGGGAGUGAAAAAGAACCUGAAACCGUGUACGUACAAGCAGUGGGAGCCCCACCACUAAGCCAGUGGUGAACUCCACAUCCGCAUCCUUUGCUGAGGAUACGGUUAACGGAGCGAAAGCGACGUUCAACCGCAAAACAAGCAGAGGGGGCUUAGUGGUGGGGUGACUGCGUACCUUUUGUAUAAUGGGUCAGCGACUUAUAUUCUGUAGCAAGGUUAACCGUAUAGGGGAGCCGGAGG